GAUGAACGCUGGCGGCGUGCCUAAUACAUGCAAGUCGAGCGGAAAGACGAUGCGCUUGCUGCUCGGUCGUUAGCGGCGGAGGGGAGAGUAACACGAGGAUAACCUACCUGUCAGUCGGAGAAAUCUUCGGGAAUCCGGAUCUAAUCCCGGAUGAUCUCUUGAACCACGGGGGUCAAUGGUGAAAUUCGGCUGUUCUGGCACGUAUCGCUGGUUCCGCGCCGCAUUAGCUGGUUGGUAAGGAACAGGGUUAUCACGGGGACGAUGCCUGACCGACCUGAGGGGGUGAUCGGCCAGACUGGAACUGAGACACGGUCCAGAGUCCUACGGGAGGCAGCAGUAGGGAAUCUGCCGCAAAGGGCGAAAGCCUGACGGAGCAACGCCGCGUGAGUGAUGAACGUCUUCGGAUCGUAAAUCUCUGUUAUUAGGGAAGAACACAUGUGUAAGUAACUAUGCACGUCUGGACGGUACCUAAUCAGAAAGCCACGGCUAACCACGUG
rnacentral:rRNA from 1 species